AGUCUGACGGAGCACGCCGCGUGAGUGAAGAAGGUUUUAGGAUCGUAAAGCUCUGUCUUCAAGGACGAAUGUGCAUAUUGUGAAUAAUGAUAUGUAAUGACGGUACUUGAGGAGGAAGCCACGGCUAACUACGUGCCAGCAGCCGCGGUAAU
rnacentral:rRNA from 1 species